rnacentral:rRNA from 1 species
GAUCUGGCUCAGGAUGAACGCUGGCGGCGUGCUUAACACAUGCAAGUCGAACGAAGCACUUUAUUUGAUUUCCUUCGGGACUGAUUAUUUUGUGACUGAGUGGCGGACGGGUGAGUAACGCGUGGGUAACCUGCCUUGUACAGGGGGAUAACAGUUGGAAACGGCUGCUAAUACCGCAUAAGCGCACGGCAUCGCAUGAUGCGGUGUGAAAAACUCCGGUGGUAUGAGAUGGACCCGCG